GUCGGAAGAACGCAGCGGUGAAGCCCAAAGAUGGGCAAAGAAAAAUCGUAAGCGAAGCGCACGAAGGCGGCUGAGAACAGGCAAUGGCGGAAAGACGCUGGGUCCUGCAUUUUCGUCCCUAGUGCCCAUGGUCUAAAUGCUGCAGCGGAAGAAACAGCCCAGAUAUCGCAUUGGCCGAGAUAGAGGAGGGCGAUGAAGGAAAACUCGACGGGCGUCGGCAUCUCGAGAGGCCGGGCUACAGGGGCAACCCUCCCAGUCCCUCCCGGGGACUGUCGACGGGGUUCCUCACAGAUCACGGGGGCCGCCUUCGGGGCGAGACGAGGGCACCGAAUCCAACAUCAGAAGUCGGAACGAGGCUCGAGCGAAGCGAAUCGGGAGACCCCCGCCGCCUCAGGGCAGGCGAGGCGACCUGGGAGCUCGCCGAUGUGA
rnacentral:lncRNA from 1 species